AAACUAUCUUGAAUUCUGUUGCUUGGACUUAUAUUUAUUAUUAUUAAAUGUUGCUAACUUUUGAUGAUCCUUAUUAAUAUUGUUAUAUAUAUUGUCGAUUUCGGCCUUUGCUGUUUUAAAAUGUCUUGUCUGGUGUUGUGACAUUAAAAUCUCACAAGUUUGAAGAAGUCUUAAUCACAAUAAAAGUGGAUAGAUUG
rnacentral:misc_RNA from 1 species